UAUCAAAUGAGUGAUAUAUUAAAACUUGCAAAAAUCAGUUGGAGGAGAAGAUUUUGUGGAUAUGGCUAUUGAGGAUAUUCAAGAUUUAUUAGUGGAAGAAGUUGACAAAACAGAUCUGGUGAAAAUAGCAUUCAAAAUAAAUCAAAUUGAUUCUGAAGAUAACAUCACUGAUGAAGAUUGUAAAGUUAAUAAUUUAAUUCUAAAAAAAUCCCAUGAAGGUCUAAAGUUAGCCAAACAGCUAGAAUCACUUUUCUUGAAUGCAGGCUGUUCAGCAGAGAGAAGUUGAAAAUUUAAAAGGAAGCUGCAGAAUUGCUUAUCCCCAUACUGUGAAAUCUGUAACGAUUUUAUAAGGACAAACAAACAAACUAAGAUUACAGAUUU
rnacentral:lncRNA from 1 species